UGAGGAAUAUUGGUCAAUGGACGAGAGUCUGAACCAGCCAAGUAGCGUGCAGGAUGACGGCCCUAUGGGUUGUAAACUGCUUUUGUUUGGGAAUAAUCGACAUUAUGUGUAAUGUUUUGCAUGUACCAUUCGAAUAAGGCCCGGCUAAUUCCGUGCCAGCAGCCGCGGUAAUACGGAAGGUCCAGGCGUUAUCCGGAUUUAUUGGGUUUAAAGGGAGCGCAGGCCGCCCGAUAAGCGUGUUGUGAAAUGUACCGGCUCAACCGGUGAGUUGCAGCGCGAACUGUCAGGCUUGAGUGCACGGUAAGCAGGCGGAAUUCAUGGUGUAGCGGUGAAAUGCUUAGAUAUCAUGAGGAACUCCGAUUGCGAAGGCAGCUUGCUGCAGUGCGACUGACGCUUAGGCUCGAAGGUGCGGGUAUCAAACAGG
rnacentral:rRNA from 1 species